CCAAACAGCACAGUGCUUUUAUUUAUGAAUAUGAAUCAUUAUUGUUCCCAGAAUAUACAACUGUCCGAAUAAGAAUAUUAUUGUAAUACUAAUUUUUUUAUUGAUCAAAGGAAGGCCUGCAACUUCAAAUAGUGUCUCGCAAUUUCGACCCGCAAGCCAAGAUUGUCAACAUGAAUCUGAUUUUCUCUUAUGCACUGAAAUCGCAGUUAUGGACACGCUUAUGGAUACUGAGGCCUCUCUUGGUUGGGAAUGCCCUGAUGCAUUCGUCGCACUUGAAUGGCCCAACCU